rnacentral:rRNA from 1 species
GACGAACGCUGUCGGCGUGCUUAACACAUGCAAGUCGAACGGAAAGGCCCUGCUUUUGUGGGGUGCUCGAGUGGCGAACGGGUGAGUAACACGUGAGUAACCUGCCCUUGACUUUGGGAUAACUUCAGGAAACUGGGGCUAAUACCGGAUAGGAGCUCCUGCUGCAUGGUGGGGGUUGGAAAGUUUCGGCGGUUGGGGAUGGACUCGCGGCUUAUCAGCUUGUUGGUGGGGUAGUGGCUUACCAAGGCUUUGACGGGUAGCCGGCCUGAGAGGGUGACCGGCCACAUUGGGACUGAGAUACGGCCCAGACUCCUACGGGAGGCAGCAGUGGGGAAUAUUGCACAAUGGGCGGAAGCCUGAUGCAGCAACGCCGCGUGCGGGAUGACGGCCUUCGGGUUGUAAACCGCUUUCGCCUGUGACGAAGCGUGAGUGACGGUGAUGGGUAAAGAAGCACCGGCUAACUACGUGCCAGCAGCCGCGGUGAUACGUAGGGUGCGAGCGUUGUCCGGAUUUAUUGGGCGUAAAGGGCUCGUAGGUGGUUGAUCGCGUCGGAAGUGUAAUCUUGGGGCUUAACCCUGAGCGUGCUUUCGAUACGGGUUGACUUGAGGAAGGUAGGGGAGAAUGGAAUUCCUGGUGGAGCGGUGGAAUGCGCAGAUAUCAGGAGGAACACCAGUGGCGAAGGCGGUUCUCUGGGCCUUUCCUGACGCUGAGGAGCGAAAGCGUGGGGAGCGAACAGGCUUAGAUACCCUGGUAGUCCACGCUGUAAACGGUGGGUACUAGGUGUGGGGUCCAUUCCACGGGUUCCGUGCCGUAGCUAACGCUUUAAGUACCCCGCCUGGGGAGUACGGCCGCAAGGCUAAAACUCAAAGGAAUUGACGGGGCCCCGCACAAGCGGCGGAGCAUGCGGAUUAAUUCGAUGCAACGCGUAGAACCUUACCUGGGUUUGACAUGGAUCGGGAGUGCUCAGAGAUGGGUGUGCCUCUUUUGGGGUCGGUUCACAGGUGGUGCAUGCCUGUCGUCAGCUCGUGUCGUGAGAUGUUGGGUUAAGUCCCGCAACGAGCGCAACCCUUGUUCACUGUUGCCAGCACGUUAUGGUGGGGACUCAGUGGAGACCGCCGGGGUCAACUCGGAGGAAGGUGGGGAUGACGUCAAGUCCUCAUGCCCCUUAUGUCCAGGGCUUCACGCAUGCUACAAUGGCUGGUACAGAGAGUGGCGAGCCUGUGAGGGUGAGCGAAUCUCGGAAAGCCGGUCUCAGUUCGGAUUGGGGUCUGCAACUCGACCUCAUGAAGUCGGAGUCGCUAGUAAUCGCAGAUCAGCAACGCUGCGGUGAAUACGUUCCCGGG